GGGCCCAUGGCUCAGUGGUAGGGCAUUUGCUUUGUCUGCAGAAGGUGCCAGUUCAAUCCCUGACAUCUCCA